UACGGAGGGGGCUAGCGUUGUUCGGAAUCACUGGGCGUAAAGCGCGCGUAGGCGGCUUUGCAAGUCAGGGGUGAAAUCCCACGGCUCAACCGUGGAACUGCCUUUGAAACUGCAAAGCUGGAGUGUCGGAGGGGAUAGCGGAAUUGCUAAUGUAGAGGUGAAAUUCGUAGAUAUUAGCAGGAACACCGGUGGCGAAGGCGGCUAUCUGGACGACAACUGACGCUGAGGCGCGAAAGCGCGGGGAUCAAACAGG
rnacentral:rRNA from 1 species